rnacentral:rRNA from 1 species
AAGAGCUCAAAGUUGGAAUCCGGCUGCCCUAGGUAGUUGGAGUUGUAAACUGGAGAAGUGUUUUCCAGGCGAGCCAAGCGAAUAAGUCCUUUGGAACGGGGCAUCAUAGAGGGUGAGAAUCCCGUCUUUGGCUUGAGCUAUUCGUCUAUUGCGAUACACUUUCAAAGAGUCAGGUUGUUUGGGAAUGCAGCCUAAAUUGGGUGGUAAAUCUCACCUAAAGCUAAAUAUUGGCGAGAGACCGAUAGCGAACAAGUACCGUGAGGGAAAGAUGAAAAGAACUUUGAAAAGAGAGUUAAACAGUAUGUGAAAUUGUUGAAAGGGAACCGUUUGGAGCCAGACCGGCCGUUCUAUAAUCAAUCUCUGCCUCGGUGGGGAUGCACUUGUAGGGCGUUGGCCUGCCAACAGCAAUUUUGCCUGAUGGAAAAAACUAGAAGGAAUGUGGCCCCUCGGGGUGUUAUAGCCUUCUGGAAAAUACAUCGGGCGGGAUUGAGGACUGCAGUAAAUGCUCUUUAGGGCGAAAUACCUGGGCGCUUGUGUUGAUGACGUGUAGAAUCUCUGCUUCGGGUGGUGCUACGCUCUGAUGUGCAACUCGCUUAGACUAUUUUCUAUUUUUUUUUACUUAGGUUGUUGGCUUAAUGACUCUAAAUGAC